rnacentral:lncRNA from 1 species
AAUGGAUCCAGCCUUAUUAGACAGAGUCACACCCUGCUCAGUAUGCUUUUAUGUUUACAUCACUAGACACAUCUGCAAUGAUCUCAGAUCCAAAUAACAUAAUUAUGUCAUGAAGUACAAAACACUAGUUAGAGUAUAGAUACACACACACACACACACACACACACACACACUGAAGUAGUGAGAGGAGAAAGAGAGAUUCCUUCUAUACCAUGAAAAACCUUUAUGUGGAGAACCAACUCAUCUGGGGGAAAGGGUUGGCACUUGGCUAUCAGUGGGUCCCAGCAGCAGCAGCUCUGAUACAGGACAUGGCUUGAGUGAUGGAUGUCUAUAGAAGGAUCGUUCAUUUUAAUUGUAACUUUUUUGCUUUUGGCUAUGCUUACCUCGUACCAGAUUUCCAAUUCCCUUAACAUUUAAGAUUGCCAAAUCAGGCCAUCUGUAAACAUGAAAAGUUGCAAAACUGGGGUCUUUCACCGAAGUGCUAGUUUUAAUAUUCUGAACAGGAAAAAAAAAAGACACUAAUUCUCUGGUCCUGAAAGCAUCAUAGUUUGUAAUGAGUAUACACUGUCUUUCUCCCUUUGUAGUUCUGGGGUUUGGUGAUACAGGUGAAUUUUUGAUGACAUCUUUUUUUUUUCUCUCCUGUUUUUUUUUUUUUUUUUUUUCCCUGUUGAGCGUUUGCCUUGGCAACCAUUGUGUAGAAGCCAAGCAGAGCCUUGCCUGAGCCAGAAAGGUUAAAACUGAGCCGACAGGACAACCCCAGCUCUCUGCUGUUGCACUGCUCUGAGACAGAAUGUUGUACAUGGUGCUGUUGUCUCAAAAGGACUGAUUCCAUAGCCAAGGGGGAAAGAUGCCAGCAGGGUAUGGAACACCUGUUGAGGAUAUCCAGAGAAGCAGUAAGAAAAACACAAAAUUAUGCCAUAUUCAGGAAAUACGGUAUUGCAUAUUAUUGAAACUGUCCCGACAAAUGUCAUAUUCAUGGAUCCAAACAAAUCUUCCAAGGAUGCUAUUGACUAAAAAGAAGCAGGUCAACAAUGUAGAACACCAUUUGAUAGCUGGAUCUCUUAACUCAGGACUUCCAACUCCCAAAGUGAAGAGGCUUGUAUUGUGACAAGAGUGUAAGUAAGGAACACCAUUCUCUACAUUCUGGGUGCUGCACAACUAUGUAAAGAAUAAUACCAAGGGACACAUGCUUCCCAUGAGGCAGUCAGCAUCUUCCGGAAGGCCAUUCUCCAUGGGCCUGCAUCUUGUUGCAUUCAGUAGAGGAUGCGGGUAAGAAGACAGGGAAGGGAAGCACUUGAGAAUAAUACCAUCACUUUCAUCAUUAGAUUUCAAC